AAGAGCUAGAGGAGGAAGCCUAUCAGCAUGGAGCACCGGGGCUGGCCUUAGUUGGGAAGGAAGGGGUAAGUUCCUAGCAGAGAAGCCUGUGGCUCCUGCCUGGGAAGCCCAUGUGUCCUUCCUCAGCUGCUGUGGAGCAAACAGGACAGUGGCAUCAGGGGUCAUCUAGGGGUCACUCAUGGAGAUUUGUGGAAAUUGUUUCUAUCCAAGAAUGCAGGCCACUAAAAUUAGUAUGCGAAUUGCUGACUGGCUCAGCACGCCACAGACCCUUGCCUACAGCGUCCACGUGGUCGCCCCGAGUACAGGAAAGCACACAGAGUGGACCGCUAGGGAAACCCGAGACCUCCCGAAGGCGUACCACCUCAGCUCUACGGUUCGACACGGUUCGACACACUUGGCGCCGAACACUUUGAACUUUGAUCCAAAGUUCGGUCAACUACCCCCACGCAAAAUGGCGAAACAGUUUGAACACACACUGAAUGGUCCAACAGGGUCUCAACCACCAACCCACUCCCCUCCGACCCCAGCGCCAGAGAGGGCUACCGCUGAGGCACCGUGA
rnacentral:lncRNA from 1 species